rnacentral:tRNA from 1 species
AAGGGAGACCUAAUUCAGGUAUGGGACGAAAAAAAAGUAGUCGCUACCAAGAAUCAAUCCCAAAAGGUCGGAGCGAGGCGAAAUUGGCUUUCAAACUAGGUUCUGGGUUCAUAAAAGACCUGAAUCAGGAACAAGGGCUAUUAGCUCAGGUGGUUAGAGCGCACCCCUGAUAAGGGUGAGGUCCCUGGUUCGAGUCCAGGAUGGCCCACCUGCACAGGUGGCAAAAACAAGAGAAGCUCCGAAUCAGCACCUUAUCUUACUUAUAUAGUAAGAGAGAAUGCUGGCUCUGAGUAAAGAGUCCAGAGGAACCUUGAAAACUGCAUAGAGCUAGGUGAAAAAGCCAAAAAAGAAGACCGCAAGGUCAAGCUAAUAAGGGCUAACGGUGGAUACCUAGGCAC